rnacentral:rRNA from 1 species
UACGUAGGCAGCAAGCGUUGUUCGGAGUUACUGGGCGUAAAGAGUGUGUAGGUGGUCCUCUAAGUUUGGUGUGAAAUCUCCCGGCUCAACUAGGAGGGUGCGCCGAAAACUGGGGGGCUUGAGUGUGGGAGAGGAAAGCGGAAUUCCUGGUGUAGCGGUGAAAUGCGUAGAUAUCGGAAGGAACAUCAGUGGCGAAAGCGACUUCCUGGACCAAUACUGACGCUCAUGUGCGAAAGCGUGGGGAGCAAACAGG